rnacentral:lncRNA from 1 species
GCCAUGCUGAAAAACCAGGGGCUGAAGCUGAUGUAUCCAUGUGGUGUCAACUGAGGAGAACCAUGAGGUCCUCCAUUCCUUUCUGAGAGCCUUCCAGGCAGGAGGGUGCCCGCUUCACUGAGCCCCCAGGGACAUGGAUGGGCCAGACUGUGUAUCCCUAACCUCGGAAUCCUCAGUAUCAGCCAGCGGAGGCCAAAUCCGCAGGAGGCCCCCAGCCUCUUCUCUGUCCCACAAGCACCGCACGCCCGUUCCUGCCUUACACAAUGGAAUACUAUGCAGCCAUCAAAAGAAAUGAAAUCUUGCCAUUUGCAACAACAUGGAUGGAACUAGAGCGUAUCAUGCUUAGUGAAAUAAGUCAAGCAGAGAAAGACAACUGUCAUAUGAUCUCCCUGAUAUGAGGAAGUGGUGAUGCAUCAUCUCAACAUUUUAUGCUCCCCAUUCCGCUCUCCUUCCCAGGCCUAUCUGAAGUCUGCCCUUCAAGGCCCCUCUCAAAUGCAUGAAGUGCCC